rnacentral:rRNA from 1 species
CAGUAGCCGCGGGAAUACGUAGGUGGCAAGCGUUGUCCGGAAUUAUUGGGCGUAAAGGGCUCGCGGGCGGUUUCUUAAGUCCGAUGUGAAAGCCCCCGGCUCAACCGGGGAGGGUCAUUGGAAACUGGGAAACUUGAGUGCAGAAGAGGAGAGUGGAAUUCCACGUGUAGCGGUGAAAUGCGUAGAGAUGUGGAGGAACACCAGUGGCGAAGGCGACUCUCUGGUCUGUAACUGACGCUGAGGAGCGAAAGCGUGGGGAGCGAACAGGAUUAGAUACCCGUGUAGUCCCUGUCUCUUAUAC